AUACGUAGGUGGCAAGCGUUAUCCGGAAUUAUUGGGCGUAAAGAGGGAGCAGGCGGCAGCAAGGGUCUGUGGUGAAAGCCUGAAGCUUAACUUCAGUAAGCCAUAGAAACCAGGCAGCUAGAGUGCAGGAGAGGAUCGUGGAAUUCCAUGUGUAGCGGUGAAAUGCGUAGAUAUAUGGAGGAACACCAGUGGCGAAGGCGCAGACCUGGCCUGCAACUGACGCUCAGUCCCGAAAGCGUGGGGAGCAAAUAGGAUUAAAUCCCCUAGUAGUCCACGCCGUAAACGAUGAGUACUAAGUGUUGGAUGUCAAAGUUCAGUGCUGCAGUUAACGCAAUAAGUACUCCGCCUGAGUAGUACGUUCGCAAGAAUGAAACUCAAAUGAAUUGGCGGGG
rnacentral:rRNA from 1 species